rnacentral:lncRNA from 1 species
AGUCCUUUUGGAUUCACCCAACUCGGACAUGAAGUCAGCAUUCUUCCUACCAGCAGUGCAUUCUCAAGCAAGAGAGAGUCAAAGUCAAGCUAACCUCGGUAAAGCCGCAUCUAUAGAGAUCCCCACAGCUGAUUCCCUUGACGAGAGGCUGAGGCUAAGGAGAAAGCAAAGCUAACUACUAAAAGACAAGAGCCUUGAUUUUAUGCCAUCUUCUUAGACUAUUCAACCUCCUGCUGCACGAGAUGAGACAAUGCAAAAGGAAGAAAAAGACCAGUGCCGCCUAUUCACAUACGUGCCUGGAAGCGAAAAUGCUUUAGAAUCAAUGGCUAACAGCCCUGCUAAUGCUUUUCCAUUCUGAUUCAAUAGCAAACAGAGCAUUCUUUGCUUCGGAUUCCAUUCCUUCAAACAAUUCUAUCACACACGGCGAAUCGAGUUCAAAGAACUCUCCCGGAAGCAUGCAUUGACAAACUAAUAGCGAGGUUUUGGGCCGAUACAAUAAUAACUGUGUACUUAUCUCAUAAUGUGAGAUGAGAAUUAGGAAUUAACUUAUGUAAUAGAGUCGAUCCACUAAAGUCUUGAGCAGCGGUGUAGGAUCAGAUCCCAAAGAUAGUAAGUAUUUUCUUUCUUAUGAAAGA